GGGGUCGAGGAGAGAUGAAGUCUCUGGCGGAGCGGCUUAGACGGUGUUGUCGAACCAACCUUCAGAACUGCUGCUGAUUUUCUGCAUCCAGAGCUAAUGGGAGCGAGACCACCGCCGAGUGACAGUCAUGUCGAACUGUGUGUGAUGGAGACAGAUUGGGAGCAUCAAUCACUGUGUCACACCAGUUUCGCUUCACACCCUCCCUGAAGGGGGACCAUGUCGGCCGACAGCUCCAGACUCCAGAUCACCACUGCAGUGAUUGAUUAUAAGAUCAAAGCACUCCUGAAAGUAUCGUGUGUACAGGGGUCAUAUGGAUGGAUGUGUUUGCUGUCCACAGUUGGGCCAUUACUGCAGCACAGCAGUCAGGAGAGAUGGAGUCAGGUGGACCUGCGGUAGGAAAGAGUCUUUCCAGGUUGCUGUUAAGGACAAACUGCCUCAUGCUGUCUGUGCUCAGGGGGGAAAAUGGGCUAGCGGAGCGUCCAAGUUCUUCUUGACGGGUGUUUGACAGAAAGCCCUAUAUAUUACUUCGCACUUCAGCAGAAAACAUAUGAAGGUAUGUACUGUAGGUAUUCUCACAUGACUCUCUCAUGAGGGAAUACAGGCAGAAUAUCCAAAUAACUGAUUUU
rnacentral:lncRNA from 1 species